GCUCAGGACGAACGCUGGCGGCGUGCCUAAUACAUGCAAGUCGAGCGGACAGAAGGGAGCUUGCUCCCGGAUGUUAGCGGCGGACGGGUGAGUAACACGUGGGUAACCUGCCUGUAAGACUGGGAUAACUCCGGGAAACCGGAGCUAAUACCGGAUAGUUCCUUGAACCGCAUGGUUCAAGGAUGAAAGACGGUUCGGCUGUCACUUACAGAUGGACCCGCGGCGCAUUAGCUAGUUGGUGAGGUAACGGCUCACCAAGGCGACGAUGCGUAGCCGACCUGAGAGGGUGAUCGGCCACACUGGGACUGAGACACGGCCCAGACUCCUACGGGAGGCAGCAGUAGGGAAUCUUCCGCAAUGGACGAAAGUCUGACGGAGCAACGCCGCGUGAGUGAUGAAGGUUUUCGGAUCGUAAAGCUCUGUUGUUAGGGAAGAACAAGUGCAAGAGUAACUGCUUGCACCUUGACGGUACCUAACCAGAAAGCCACGGCUAACUACGUGCCAGCAGCCGCGGUAAUACGUAGGUGGCAAGCGUUGUCCGGAAUUAUUGGGCGUAAAGGGCUCGCAGGCGGUUUCUUAAGUCUGAUGUGAAAGCCCCCGGCUCAACCGGGGAGGGUCAUUGGAAACUGGGAAACUUGAGUGCAGAAGAGGAGAGUGGAAUUCCACGUGUAGCGGUGAAAUGCGUAGAGAUGUGGAGGAACACCAGUGGCGAAGGCGACUCUCUGGUCUGUAACUGACGCUGAGGAGCGAAAGCGUGGGGAGCGAACAGGAUUAGAUACCCUGGUAGUCCACGCCGUAAACGAUGAGUGCUAAGUGUUAGGGGGUUUCCGCCCCUUAGUGCUGCAGCUAACGCAUUAAGCACUCCGCC
rnacentral:rRNA from 1 species